GAUGAACGCUGGCGGCGUGCCUAAUACAUGCAAGUCGAGCGAACAGAUAAGGAGCUUGCUCCUUUGAAGUUAGCGGCGGACGGGUGAGUAACACGUGGGUAACCUACCUAUAGGACUGGGAUAACUUCGGGAAACCGGAGCUAAUACCGGAUAACAUUUAGAACCGCAUGGUUCUAAAGUGAAAGAUGGUUUUGCUAUCACUUAUAGAUGGACCCGCGCCGUAUUAGCUAGUUGGUAAGGUAACGGCUUACCAAGGCGACGAUACGUAGCCGACCUGAGAGGGUGAUCGGCCACACUGGAACUGAGACACGGUCCAGACUCCUACGGGAGGCAGCAGUAGGGAAUCUUCCGCAAUGGGCGAAAGCCUGACGGAGCAACGCCGCGUGAGUGAUGAAGGGUUUCGGCUCGUAAAACUCUGUUAUUAGGGAAGAACAAAUGUGUAAGUAACUGUGCACAUCUUGACGGUACCUAAUCAGAAAGCCACGGCUAACUACGUG
rnacentral:rRNA from 1 species